CGUUGUCGAGAGGAACUGCCCUACAGUGACUGGCCAUAGUGAAUAGUGGAACUCCACAGAACUUGCUGGACCACCAGUAUCGUUGUUGUGGCCACUGUACGUAUGUUUGUUGAUAUUAUUCAUGCUUGUUCCUUGUUCAUGCUUGUUCACAUUUUUUUUGUUCCACACUGUUCAUUUUUAUCUUAUGCCAGGUACCUUUAUUAUGAAUGUUGUCCUUCCUUUCAGCCCUGAUGCAUUCUGAAGCCUGAUGUAUGUGGAGGAUUUCUUUUUAUGUAUUAAUCACUUAUAAUAUUCCUCCCUGUUCCUUCACUUUGUUCUUGUUUUUCCAGUUAGAUACACACACACACACACAUCUUGUUGUCUCACUCAGUAUUUUUUAUUAAACAAUAUUUGAUUCAUUUA